CGUGUAGGCGGUCAGGUAAGUGGAAUGUGAAAGCCCUCGGCUCACCCGAGGAUCUGCAUUCCAAACUGCCUGGCUUGAGUAUGGGAGAGGAUGAGGGAAUUCCUGGUGUAGCGGCGAAAUGCGUAGAUAUCAGGAGGAACACCGGUGGCGAAGGCGCUCAUCUGGCCCAAUACUGACGCUGAGGCGCGAAAGCUAGGAGAGCAAACG
rnacentral:rRNA from 1 species